UGCGUAGGCGGGCUAAUAAGUCAGUGGUGAAAUCUUUCGGCUCAACCGGGAAACUGCCAUUGAUACUGUUAGUCUUGAGUUCGGUUGAGGUAGGCGGAAUGUGUAAUGUAGCGGUGAAAUGCUUAGAUAUUACACAGAACACCAAUUGCGUAGGCAGCUUACUAGACCGACACUGACGCUGAGGCACGAAAGCGUGGGGAGCGAACAGGAUUAGAUACCCUGGUAGUCC
rnacentral:rRNA from 1 species